AGCUUUGCGCAGUGGCAGUAUCGUAGCCAAUAAGGUUUAUCCGAGGAGCAAUUAUUGCUAAUUGAAAACUUUUCCCAAUACCCUGCCGUGACGACUUGCAAUAUAAUCGGCAUUGGCAAUUUUUGACAGUCUACAGAGAC
ensembl:snRNA U4 U4 spliceosomal RNA